rnacentral:rRNA from 1 species
AUUGAACGCUGGCGGCAUGCUUUACACAUGCAAGUCGAACGGCAGCGCGGGCUUCGGCCUGGCGGCGAGUGGCGAACGGGUGAGUAAUGCAUCGGAACGUGCCCAGUAGUGGGGGAUAGCCCGGCGAAAGCCGGAUUAAUACCGCAUACGACCUGAGGGUGAAAGCGGGGGACCGAAAGGCCUCGCGCUAUUGGGGCGGCCGAUGUCGGAUUAGCUAGUUGGUGGGGUAAAGGCGUACCAAGGCGACGAUCCGUAGCUGGUCUGAGAGGACGACCAGCCACACUGGGACUGAGACACGGCCCAGACUCCUACGGGAGGCAGCAGUGGGGAAUUUUGGACAAUGGGGGCAACCCUGAUCCAGCCAUGCCGCGUGCGGGAAGAAGGCCUUCGGGUUGUAAACCGCUUUUGUUCGGGAAGAAAUCCUCUGGGCUAAUACCCCGGGGGGAUGACGGUACCGGAAGAAUAAGCACCGGCUAACUACGUG